GACGAACGCUGGCGGCGGGCCUAAUACAUGCAAGUAGGACGCAGUUGCGAACGGGAGAGUAACGCGUAGGUAACUACCUAUUAGAGGGGGAUAACUAUUGGAAACGAUAGCGAAUACCGCAUACUAGUAGAUGGACCUGCGUUGUAUUAGCUAGUAGGUAGGGUAAUGGCCUACCUAGGCAACGGUACACAGCCGACCUUGUAGGGCGAUCGGCCCCACUGGGACUGGGACACGGCCCCGACUCCCUCGGGGGGGCGCAGUAGGGAAUCUUCGGCAAUGGGGUGAACCCUGACCGAGCAACGCCGCCUGAAUGAAUAAAGUUUUCGGAUCGUUAAGCUCUGUUGUUAAGGAAGCGUUACUUAACCAGGAAGCGACGGCUAACUACGUGCCAGCAGCCGCGGUAAUUC
rnacentral:rRNA from 1 species